UUAAGUUCAGCGGGUAUCCCUACCUGAUCCGAGGUCAACCUUGAUAAAAAUUGGGGUUGCUGGCAAGCACUCAACCGGUCAUCCAAAGCGAGAAAAAUUACUACGCUUGAAGCCGAAUGGCACCGCCACUGAUUUUACAGCCCGCCUUUGCAGGUGGAGCCUAAUACCAAGCUGAGCUUGAGGGUUGUAAUGACGCUCGA
rnacentral:misc_RNA from 1 species